ACCUGGCGUCGGUAGCGAUUUGGUUCAACCACACGACUUUUAUCCAGAAUCUGAGCCAGAGGGAGAGGCUGCUGAAGAAGUUCAAACUCUACAACUGCAGCAGGACGUUUCUGAAUGGUGCUCCUGUGGAAACUGUGCAACCAUGCCCACAGAAGCUGAGAAUAUCUGCUGCUAGGAGAUACCACAGGUUACCAGACAGCUAUGGGAGAUCGAGGAAGAUUUACCAUGUACGGUCGGCCGUCCUGGGUUGGAGCCGCUCUGCCUCAUUAUGUACUCCCUCCAGAAUGC